UGGAAGAAACAGUGCAAGAUAACUAUGAGACUCUCAGGAAUGAAACUUUAAUCCAUGAAAUUGCAAUAAUUACAAAGCCAAAGUAACGGAUCCUGGUAGUUUCAAAGUUUGGAAUUGUAAUCAGUGCACAUUAAAGAACUACAACCAGAGUUAAUGACUGCUAAGAAACACGUGCCAGUCUACCAAAAUGGUUAGACGUUUCACAUUUUGUUUACUGUUUCAGUGAUGUGCAUUUUGCAUUCACAGAUACUCACUAGUUAUCUAUGAGUUAGUUUUUUUGUUGGAAUAAAUCAGAAAGAAGUGUUUCCUAAGGAAAUAUAAAAAAACUGUGCAGAUCAUUCUUGAAAUGCACUUAUCAAUACUGAUAAAUUAAGAUUGGAAAUAGUCUUGAAACUUGGCAUGAUUUAAAAUAGAAAAUAUUCACUUCUCAAAUGCACUUUAACAACUAGAGUAAGUAACAUAUCUAGAUUAAUUUAAAACUGAUAUGAAAUAGUUUAGAUAUAUUAUAUUAUUUUUUUUCUUGUAUCAGGUGAUUCUGAUUGAUAUGGGAAGAGUGCAGAACAAGACUAGGUAUCCCUCUGUGUACGACAGAGGUAUCAACAAGGACCAGUUGCAA
rnacentral:lncRNA from 1 species